rnacentral:rRNA from 1 species
UACCAGAGGGUCAAAUUAUAGAUUAUAGGUAAGUGAAGUUAUUAAGAUGAUUAUUGGGACUUUUUAAGAAAAGGUGAAAUUUAAUUAAAGGAUUASUUCUUAAGGAUAASAUAUAUGAAUUCACGAAAUCUAUUGGAAAAACUGGGAUUAGAUACCCCAUUAUAGUAGACGUAAAUAUAUUACUAGAGUACUACGAAUAGAAUUUAAAACUCAAAGAACUUGGCGGUGUCUUAGACUACCUAGGGGAACCUGUUUUGUAAGCGAUAAUCCACGUUGGAUCUUACCUUCCCUGGUAAUCAGUAUGUAUACCGUUGUCGUCAGGCAACUCUUGAGGAUUGAAAAGUUGGCGACUUAAAAGUUAACUUAUAAUGUCAAAUCAAGGUGCAGCUUAUGGGGGGGUAGAAAUGGGUUACAUUAAUAAUAUUAUAGUGGAAUUAGCUCUGAAAUAGGCUAUAGGAAAUAGGACUUGGAAGUAAAGAGGGAUAUGUGAAUGGUUUGAAUAUAGCUCUGGGACGUGU